GGGCUAUUAGCAGAGAAUUUCUGUACCUGCCAUGGAAUCACUCCUCUAAUUUUGACCUCUCCCAGCACAGAGCUCAUGUAGUCAGGUGUUGGAAAAUAAAACAGCUGUCAUAAGUGCUGAAAGUCUGGAUUUUGCAGCUAAUGCACCUAUUCUGAGUACCCUUGACAAAUUUCCAGACCUACAAACACUGAAACUGAACAGGAAAUCUAAAAUGCUUAUGAUGCAAACUUGCUCACAGCUCUCUGAAGAACUUUG